GGGUUGAUGGCGAAGUUGGUUGUCGCCUGCGUCUCACACACAGAAGGUCCUCAGUUCAAGCCUGGGUCAACUUA